ACAACCGGCAGCUUCCUUCACCAUUUUAAUUGCCAUUUUUUUCCUUUUUCUUAAAUAUUUAUAUUUUCAUACGUUCAGUUAUAUUUUUUUAAAGUUAGAUGAAGUGAAAAUAGGGUAAAGGAUGUGUUUAUAAAAUUGAGUUGAAUACUUCACGUUUAUGUAACGUGAUGUAUUGUGAUUCUUACUCUGUAUAGGAAGAUCUGAUGCCCAAUUUUCACUCAUAUUUUACAAAUCUGGUUUGUCCUUCCAACCAAUGUUGUCUGUGAAGAUAGUUCAUUAAGUAACUGUGCCGAUUCUGAUAUUGAUUUGGAAGGUUCAGAUUCAGAGUGACAGCAACGUGUUCAGAAUCAAAUUUCAGAAAUCAGAAUCAAUGAAUUUAGAGAGAAUUUUCAGAAUCAAUGCAUAUCGAUAUUUUAGACUGGUGUUCUUUGUAUAGAUUGGUAUUGUUUGUGUCAUGCUUUGGUUGUAUUAGUUAUCCUUGUUGUGUGUGCGUACAUUUGGUUGUGAAAUGAUCCUGUUUCAAAUCAUAUCAAGUUUUCACAUUUUGUUCCCUCAUGGACUGAAAUUUGUAA